AACACUAUCUGGAAUGCAUAUCGUUUGUGCAAGCAUUUUUGAUUCUUGAAGUCAUCCAUCAUUUUCUUGACAAAAUCCAAAGUAGCACUGUCUCCCUCUAUCCUUGCACCUGAAUACUGUUGCUCCACAUCUAUAGAGCGAAAAUCAAUAGAAUCAGCCACUAAGCGCCUUUCAGACUCAGGUGCAGCAAUUGCUUCUUCAAACUUAAG
rnacentral:misc_RNA from 1 species